rnacentral:lncRNA from 1 species
ACGUGUCCCCUCACACCUUCAAUUUAUGCAUUCAAAAUCUUAUUAUAAAUACAGCCCAAAAAUGCAUUAGUUUCUUCAUCCCUCAAUUUUCAUAUUUCAUAAGUACUAAGCUUUGAAACAAAAAUAAAAGAAUUAAGAAGAAUGGGUUCCAAGGCAAUUAUGUUUCUUGGUCUUUUUUUGGCUAUUUUCUUAAUGAUAAGCUCUGAGGUUGCAGCUAGGGAGUUGGCAGCUGAGACUUCCAAUGGUAAGCAUUUCUUUUCAUUUGUUCCCUCUCUUAGGGUAUGUUCGAUAAAAAAAAAUAUUUUUCAUGAAAAAUAUUUUGUAAGAAAAUAUAAGUGACUUCUUUAUUUACUUUUUUGUGUUCAAUAUCGUGAUAUAAUCUAGACAGAUAUAUAAUUGGUGGGGUUGGAUGGUGACGGUGGGAUGAAGAUGGGGCGAAGAUAAAUAUGUUUGAUCAUAAAAUUUGUCUACUUUUUGAAAAUUAUUUGAAACAAAAUCCCAAAAUUUCAAUCACUAAUGCUGUAGUUUGAUCAUGACACUUAAUAUAUAUUCUUUUUGUUUCAUGUUAUACGUCUCAAUUACUAUGCAUAAAGUAUAAGAAUAUACCAUAAACUUCCCAAACUUUGCUAAACUAAACUAAAGGUAUGUAAAUUAUAUUAUAAAUGCCCUAUGAGUUUUGUGAUCUUAUGUUACAUUGAAAUUAAAAAAAUUACAAUUAAAUAUAUAUAGGAAGAGGAGUACUCAUUUUGAAAUAUAAUAAAAAGGAAAGUACGACAUAUAAAUUGAAGUGCAAUUCAAAGACUAGUAAUGACUCAUCGUACGUGUUAGCUAGUUUAAUUAAUCUUCACAAUUCAUCGAUGCAGCGGUAAACGUUGAUGGACAUUAUUAUGGAGGCGGCUAUGGUAAGGGCCAUGGAAAACCUAAGAAAUGUUAUAGUUGCUGCAAGAAAUACAAAUAUGGAUGCAAAAAAUACUGCUGCUCUUAUGAAGAAUAUGUGGCUGCCCAGACUCACAACUAAAUAAUUAAUUAUUAUUGUAAACUUUUGAAAUUAAGUGACAAGAUACUAAUAAUCUUGCUACUUAAGACCCUUUGCUUGUAACAAGUAUGAAUAAAGCCAUUCAUUUACAAUGAAUGGUUGGUCAUGAUGUAAUGUUUUGUUGUACAAUAUAUCAUAUUGUGUUAAAAAUGUUUCCCUAAUGUUAAGAUUUUCUUCUUAUUUUUACUUAAGUAUUCUAUCAUCCCUUAAUCAUAUGUUUCAAGAUUGAAUCCUGGUCCGAAUAUAGAAUUGUCUUUGUUACAUAGUAUUUUACUCUAUUUGAAUUUUUUACCGUGAAUCCAAUUUAUUUAAGGCAUCUCUAAUUAAGGAUAUUGAACAUUGAGGGGAAAUUUUAAAAUAUUUAAUUUUCUUGUUAUUUAAUAAAGUAAGGAAAACAAUGCAGAAAAAAAGAAACAAUUUGUUCUUUUCUUUGUAUAAUAUUUAAAAAAAUAUAAUCACAGAAGAAAUAAAAUUAAAGCAUGGGGGACAAACGACUAAUAAUGUCAAAUCAUCACUUAUUUUUUUAUUUCUAAUGAACACUUUAGUCAGGGCUGAAAUCGAAAUUUUAUGAAAACAUCACAACAUAUAAACAAAAAUGAACACAUGAGUAAAUUUUAAUGAUUCAAUAUAUGAUACAAUGUAGUAGCUUUUUUCGACGAAGGAGAGUCAAUUAACAAUAUUAGAUAAGGAUGGUUACAUCAUUAAUAUUCACGAUCACCAUUAAGGGCGUAUUUACCUUAAGCUCGCAAUAUAUAUAUGCAACGUCAACCAAAUAACUCACAUUAGGGGUGUACAAAAAUGAACCGAAAACCGAAUUAAACCGCAAAUCGAGAAAAAAAAAUCCGACUAGUGGUUGGUUUGACUUGGUUUGGUAUUGAAAAAAAAACCCAACUAUAUUUGGGUUGGUUUGGUUUUAACUAAAAAAAACCAACCCGAGACCAAACCAACACGUCAUUAUAUAUAUAAUUUUAAAAUUUAUUUUAUAUUUUAUACAUAAAAAUAUUUACUUUGAAAUAAUUUUUAAAUCUUUCUUAUACUUUUUCAUAGUUUUUAUCUUUUAAUAUAUUAUUNNNNNNNNNNNNNNNNNNNNNNNNNNNNNNNNNNNNNNNNNNNNNNNNNNNNNNNNNNNNNNNNNNNNNNNNNNNNNNNNNNNNNNNNNNNNNNNNNNNNNNNNNNNNNNNNNNNNNNNNNNNNNNNNNNNNNNNNNNNNNNNNNNNNNNNNNNNNNNNNNNNNNNNNNNNNNNNNNNNNNNNNNNNNNNNNNNNNNNNNNNNNNNNNNNNNNNNNNNNNNNNNNNNNNNNNNNNNNNNNNNNNNNNNNNNNNNNNNNNNNNNNNNNNNNNNNNNNNNNNNNNNNNNNNNGAAAACAAAAAUACAGAAUGAUUAUUAUGAAAAAAAUAAGUGAACAAAUGGGGUUCUUUUGUAUAUUUUAUUUUUUGUUAUUGCUGAAUUUGCCGAACUUUUACAGCUUGUUUGAGUACUUGUUACCUAUAUAGUUGUAUUUUGGUGGCGAAAUGGUCUAAUAGACCCCUGUACUUGUAUGAGUUUGUAUUGUGAACCCUUCUACUUAACUCUUUAUCAAUUGAACCCUUAAACUUAUAAAACACAAUUUAUCAAACCCCUCUGACCAUUGACUAGGCUUAUGUGGCAUCAAUAUGGUUGAGUUGGCAAGAGUGUGUGAAUUCACUCUCGUUAAGGCGAGUGAUAUCCUAUUUAAGUUUUAAAAAAUAUUAAAAAAUUAAAAAAAAAUAAAACAAUAAAACAAAAAAACUUUAAAAAAAAUAACUAAAAAAGGCUUUCUUCUUCCGCCAACAGGUUCACAUCCAUUUUUGGCCAUCUCCAUCCCUGUCCAAUCCAUUUUUCUUUCUUCUUCACACUCUUGUCAUCUUCUUUAGCAGAUCUUCGCAUUGGCACCUAGAGAGAGACGACGCAGGUCAGUGGAAGAAGAACGAGGCGGUUGAGGGUAGGAUCUGGUCACGACAGCGAAGAGGUUUUUCGGUCAGAUCUGGUGGCCAUGGUGCGACGGAGAUGAAGACGGGUGAGGAAGAGGGCACGUAUGGUCGCCGGCAAGAGUUGCGACGACGACUGAGACGGCGGCGAGGAGCCUCCUAGAAUAUUUGUAUGCCGGAGACAGUAAGGGGUUUCUUGGCCUUCUGAUACUCCGGAGAGGAUGAAGAGCAUAUCGGUCGGUGAUGGUGAGGGGAGAGAAGCUAGUGCGGUGGCUUAGGGUUUCUAGAUUUGUGGAGGUUAGAGAAGGAGAAAAGAAAAUGGUAAGGGUGUGCGAUGAAGAUGGAGGUUGGUGGGGAGAUCGUAUUUGUGGUCUCGCCGGCAAGAGGAGCGGCAACAGCAGCGACUUUUUCCGACAGUUGGGCCAUUUCACGGUGAAAAUGGAAGAUGAUGUGAGGAGACCCAAACUUUUAAUUUAAAAUAAUAAAUUAAAAUUUAAUUUGUCAAAAUUACAUCAAAACUUUAUGAUUUUUCUUUUGUUAAAAAAGAAAUUAUUAUAUAAAAAAAAAAUGAUGUGGCAAAUUUUAUCUGACAUAGCGUAUGACAUUAGCGUGAUUGAGAAUCACGAUGAGUUGAAAGGGUUCAAUAGGUUGAGUUUAGAUGGGUUCAGGGGUCCAUAUGACAAAGAGGUAAGUAGAAGAAUUCACAAUACAAACGCAUACAAGUACAAGGGUCCACCAGAUCAUUUUGCCUAUUUUGGUAGGACUAAAGAAAUAUUUGAAGUACAAGUAAAUUAUAUGUUCGUAUGAAUACUUUACCGGAAAAACCCGAAAAAUCCGAGGUUGAAAAACCCGAGUUUUAUUGAUUUGGUUUGGUUUAUAGAUUUAAAAAUUCAACACAAAUGGUUGGAUUUGAUAAUUGAAAAAUCCGAACCAACCCGGUCAUGUACACCCCUAACUCACAUGAUUAUGAAUCAAGGAAAAGAAUAAAUAAUUUUCGUCAUGUUGUGCAAAAAUAUAUAUUUCUAAUCUUAUUAAUAUUAGGUUAGGGGGAAACCUUUUUUGGGUUAUUUAUUAUUUCUAUCUAUAUUUUGUGUAUAUAUAUAAAAAAAAAAUUGCAUAAUAUAUAAACGUAUCCUUUAAUUUGGUCUCAACUGACAUCUAGCCCUCCAACUUUGGAUGUGCACAAGUAGGGACUUAAACUUGUAUAGAGUUGAACAAGUAGACACACUAGUCCUACGUGACAUAAUACGCAUAGGACACCAUGUACGACACAAAUUAUCAUGUAGGACAUGUAUAUCUACUUGUUCUAUUAUAUAUAAACUUAAGUGUUUACCAUUAGUACACAUCCAAAAUUAAAGGUUAUAAAUAUCGAUUAAGGUCAAAAUAAAAUAAUAUUUUCAUGUAUUAUACUUGUUUUUUUAGAAGACUUUUCUUGAGUUAUAAAGCAAUAAAGAGAGUUGGCCCCUCUUAUUUAACUUGAUACGUUGUACAUUAAAAGAGUCAUUAAAUACGUCAUUUAAAGUCUUUGAGUAUUGACCAAAUCCAAGAGUAUAUAUACACCACUAUUUCUAGAUAUUUUAGGAUAAGGUAGUCCUACAAGUUAGCAUAUUUUAAAUUACUUUUUUGCAUAACUAUCCAAAAAUAUACUAUUAACACGACGAUUUAUUAUCGAAAUAUAUAAUACCCAUCACAUGCAUAUUAUUUUUUAAAGUUAUUUUAAUGUUUGAUUUUCUACUAAGUAUUAAUCUUUGUUUUUAGUUUGUUUUGUCGGAUGGUGUACGUAAGCCACUUGGUCAUAUUGAUGUGAUAUAUUUACAAAUAUUUUUUCGAAAAAAUAAGUAAAUUUUUAUCUAUUCUUAUGUUUUUUUAUAGGGAAAAAGUCUGAAAUAUAUUCGAACUUUAGCCAUUCUACUUAAUUUUACUAAUGGUGUUAUAGUAUUAACGUAUGUACUUGUGCCUUUCUACUUUUACUAAUGGUGUUUUGAUUAUUUUUAACUUUUAAUUUGAUUAUUUUGAAUAUUUAAGAUUUGUAAAAUACAAACAGAUACAAUUUAUAAAUAUUAUGUUUUUUUCAUCUUAACAAAAUAUUACUUACGACUCCACCAUAAAAUCAACACUCUAUUUAUCUACCACUUGUAGAGCAAGUUGUUCAUUUCUUUGGUCCAUACAUAAUUGCAAUCCGUAUAUGUAUCCCCUCACACCUCUAAUUAUUUAUGCAUUCAAAUCUUAUUAUAAAUAGAGCCCAAAAAUGCAUUAGUUUCUUCAUCCCUCAAUUUUCAUAUUUCAUAAGUACUAAGUUUUGAACAAAAGAAAAAUUAAAAAGAAUGGGUUCCAAGGCAAUUAUGUUUCUUGGUCUUUUUUUGGCUAUUUUCUUAAUGAUAAGCUCUGAGGUUGCAGCUAGGGAGUUGGCAGCUGAGACUUCCAAUGGUAAGCAUUUCUUUUCAUUUGUUCCCUCUCUUAGGGUGUGUUCGAUAAAAAAAAAAUGUUUUCAUGAAAAAUAUUUUGUAAGAAAAUAUAAGUGACUUCUUUAUUUACUUUGUUGUGUUUAAUAUUGUGAUAUAAUCUAGAUAAAUAUAUAAUUGGUGGGGUUGGAUGAUGACGGUGGGAUGAGGAUGGGGGAAGAUAAAUAUGUUUGAUCAUAAAAUUUGUCUACUUUUUGAAAAUUAUUGGAAACGAAAUCCCAAAAUUUCAAUUAAUAAUGCUAUAGUUUGAUCAUGACACUAAAUAUACAUUCCUUUUGUUUCAUUUUAUAUGUCUCAAUUACUAUGCAUAAAGUUUAAGAAUAUACCAUAAACUUUCCAAUCUUUGCUAAACUAAACUAAAGGCGUGUAAAUUAUAUUAUAAAUGUCCUAUGAAUUUUGUGAUCUUAUGUUACAUUGGAAUUAAAAAAAUUAAUUACAAUUAAAUAUAUAUAGUUAAUGGAGUACUCAUUUUGAAAUAUAAUAAAAAGGAAAGUACGACAUAUAAAUUGAAGCUCAAUUCAGAGACUAGUCAUAACUCAUCGUACGUGUUAGCUAGUUUAAUUAAUCUUCACAAUUCAUCGAUGCAGCGGUAAACGUUGAUGGACAUUAUUAUGGCGGUGGCUAUCACGAGGGCUAUGGAAAACCUAAGAAAUGUCAUAGUUGCUGCAAAAAAUACAAUAUGGAUGCAUAAAAUACUGCUGCUCUUAUGAAGAAUAUGUGGCUGCCCAGACUCACAACUAAAUAAUUAAUUGUGUGUAUUAUUAUUGUAAACUUUUGAAAUUAAGUGACAAGAUAAUAAUAAUCUUGUUACUUAAGACCCUUUGCUUGUAACAAGUAUGAAUAAAGCCAUUCAUUUACUAUGAAUGGUUGGUCAUGAUGUAAUGUUUUGUUGUACAAUAUAUCAUAUUGUGUUAAAAAAUGUUUCCCUAAUGUUAAGAUUUUCUUCUUAUUUUUACUUUAAGUAUUAUAUUCUAUCAUCCUUUAAUCAUAUAUUUCAGGAUUGAAUCCUGAUCCGAAUAUAGAAUUGUCUUUGUUACAUAGUGUUUUACUUGAUCUGAAUUUUUUAACGUGAAUCCAAUUUAUUUAAGGCAUCUCUAAGGAUAUUGAACAUCGAGGGGAAAAUUUAAAAUAUUUAAUUUUCUUGUUAUUUAAUAAAGUAAGGAAAACAAUGCAGAAAAAAGAAACAAUUUGUUCUUUUCUUUGUCUAAUAUUUUUUAAAAGUAUAAUCACAGAAGAAAUAAAAUUAAAGCAUGGGGGACAAAAGACUAAUAAUGUCAAAUCAUCACUUAUUUUUUGAUUUCUAAUGAACACUCUAGUCAGGGCUGAAAUCGAAAUUUUAUGAAAACAUCACAAUAUAAACAAAAAUAAACACAUGAGUAAAUUUUAAUGAUUCAAUAUAUGAUACAAUGUAGUAACUUUUUUCGACGAAGGAGAGUCAAUUAACACUCUUAGAUAAGGAUGGUUACAUCAUUAAUAUUCACGAUCACCAUUAGGGGCGGAUUUACCUUAAGCUCGCAAUGCCAUCUAGCUAUUAGUCAUGCAUGGAAAAUAAAUUUUCUUAUGCACAUGAUCAACUAAAUAAAUAUCGUAUUAUUUAGAAAAGAUUUAUAUAUAUAUAUGCAACAUCAACCAAAUAACUCACAAUCUCACAUGAUUAUUAAUCAGGGAAAAGAUUAAAUAAUUUUCGUCAUGUUGUGCAAAAAUAUAUAUUUCUAAUCUUAUUAAUAUUAGGUUAGGGGGGGAAACCGUUUUUUUGGGUUAUUUAUUAUUUCUAUCUAUAUUUUGUGUAUAUAUAUAAAAAAAAAUUAGCAUAAAAUAUAAACGUAUCCUUUAAUUUGGUCUCAACUGACAUCUAGCCCUCCAACUUUGGAUGUGCACAAGUAGAGACUUAAACUUGUAUAGAGUUGAACAAGUAGACACACUAAUCCUACAUGACAUAAUACGUGUAGGACCGCAUGUACGACACAAAUUAUCAUGUAGAACAUGUGUGUUUACUUAUUCUAUUAUAUAUAAAGUUAAGUGUUUACCAUUAGUACACAUUCAAAAUUAAAGGUUAUAAAUAUCGGUUAAGGUCAAAAUAAAAUAAUAUUUUCAUGUAUUAUACUUGUUUUUUUAGUAAGACUUUUCUUGAGUUAUAAAGCAAAUGAAGAGAGUUGGCCCCUCUUAUUUAACUUGAUACGUUGUACAUUAAAUACGUCAUUUAAAGUCUUUGAGUAUUGACCAAAUCCAAGAGUAUAUAUACACCACUAUUUCUAGAUAUUUUAGGAUAAGGUAGUCCUACAUGUUAGCAUAUUUUAAAUUACUUUUUUGCAUAACUGUCCAAAAAUAUACUAUUAACACGACGAUUUAUUAUCGAAAUAUAUAAUACCCAUCACAUGCAUAUUAUUUUUUAAAGUUAUUUUAAUGUUGUUUGAUUAUCUACUAAGUAUUAAUCUUUGUUUUUAGUUUGUUUUGUCGGACGGUGUACGUAAGCCACUUGGUCAUAUUGAUGUGAUAUAUUUACAAAUAUCUUUUCGAAAAAAUAAGUAAAUUUUUAUCUAUUCUUAUUUUUUUUAUAGGGAAAAAAGACUGAAAUAUAUACAAACUUUGGCCAUUCUACUUUUAAUAAUGGUGUUAUAGUAUUAACGUAUGUACUUGUGCCUCUCUACUUUUACUAAUGGUGUUUCGAUAUUUUUAACUUUUAAUUUGAUUAUUUUGAAUAUUUAAGAUUUGUAAAAUACAAACAAAUACAAUUUAUAAAUAUUAUGUUUUUUUCAUCUUAACAAAAUAUUACUUACGACUCCACCAUAAAAUCAACACUCUAUUUAUCUGCCACUUGUAGAGCAAGCUCAUUUCUUUGGUCCAUAAAAUAAUUGCAAUCCGUACAUGUGUCCCCUCACACCUCUAAUUAUUUAUGCAUUCAAAUCUUAUUAUAAAUGAGCCCAAACAUGCAUUAGUUUCUUCAUCCCUCAAUUUUCAUAUUUCAUAAGUACUAAGUUUUGAACAAAAGAAAAAUUAAAAAGAAUGGGUUCCAAGGCAAUUAUGUUUCUUGGUAUUUUUUUGGCUAUUUUCUUAAUGAUAAGCUCUGAGGUUGCAGCUAGGGAGUUGGCAGCUGAGACUUCCAAUGGUAAGCAUUUCUUCUCAUUUGUUCCCUCUCUUAGGGUGUGUUCGAUAAAAAAAAAUGUUUUUCAUGAAAUAUAUUUUGUAAGAAAAUAUGAAUGACUUCUUUAUUUACUUUUUUGUGUUCAAUAUUGUGAUAUAAUCUAGACAGAUAUAUAAUUGGUGGGGUUGGAUGGUGAGGGUGUGGGGAUGAGGAUGGGGGCGAAGAUAAAUAUGUUUGGUCAUAAAAUUUGUCUACUUUUUAAAAAUUAUUGGAAACCAAAUCCAAAAAUUUCAAUCACUAAUGCUAUAGUUUGAUCAUGACAUUUAAUAUACAUUCCUUUUGUUUCAUUUAAUAUAUGUCUCAAUUACAAGGCAUAAACCUUCCAAUCUUUGCUAAACUAAACUAAAGGUGUGUAAAUUAUAUUAUAAAUGUCCUACGAAUUUUGUGAUCUUUUGUUACAUUGAACUUAAAAAAUAUACAAUUAAAUAUAUAUAGGAAAAGGAGUACUCAUUUUGAAAUAUAAUAAAAAGGAAAGUACGACAUAUAAAUUGAAGCUCAAUUCAGAGACUAGUCAUGACUCAUCGUAUGUGUAAGCUAGUUUAAUUAAUCUUCACAAUUCAUCGAUGUAGCGGUCAACGUUGAUGGACAUUAUCAUGGUGGCGGCUAUGGUAAGGGCUAUGGAAAACCUAAAAAAUGUUAUAGUUGCUGCAAGAAAACCAAAUAUGGAUGCAAAAAAUACUGCUGCUCUUAUGAAGAAUAUGUGGCUGCCCAGACUCACAACUAAAUAAUUAAUUGUGUGUAUUAUUAUUGUAAACUUUUGAAAUUAAGUGACAAGAUAAUAAUAAUCUUGCUACUUAAGACCCUUUGCUUGUAACAAGUAUGAAUAAAGCCAUUCAUUUACUAUGAAUGGUUGGUCAUGAUGUAAUGUUUUGUUGUACAAUAUAUCAUAUUGUGUUAAAAAUGUUUCCCUAAUGUUAAGAUUUCCUUCUUAUUUUUACUUAAGUAUUCUAUCAUCCUUUAAUCAUAUGUUUCAGGAUUGAAUCCUGAUCCGAAUAUAAAAUCGUCUUUAUUACAUAGCUUUUACUCGAUCUGAAUUUUUUACCGUGAAUCCAAUUUAUUUAAGGCAUCUCUAAUUAAGGAUAUUGAACAUUGAGGGGAAAAAUUUAAAAUAUUUAAUUUUCU